rnacentral:rRNA from 1 species
UACGAAGGGGGCUAGCGUUGCUCGGAAUCACUGGGCGUAAAGCGCACGUAGGCGGCUUUUUAAGUCAGGGGUGAAAUCCUGGAGCUCAACUCCAGAACUGCCUUUGAUACUGGGAAGCUUGAGUCCGGAAGAGGUGAGUGGAACUCCGAGUGUAGAGGUGAAAUUCGUAGAUAUUCGGAAGAACACCGGUGGCGAAGGCGGCCGACUGGACACAUAUUGACGCUGAGGCUCGAA